UUCUUAAACGGGAGCAAGUUCCUGCCUUUCGGGGUCUGGGCUGUGGUCUUGCCCUGAAGGGAGAAUGAGGAACCAGCUACUUUACCUCGAAAGACCCCCUCCUUCAGACAUUUCUGCGAAACGUAAAACGUUCGUUUCGUCCUGCCAGAUGGAGCCGCUGUAGGUUUUCUUCUGUGCUGGGGCUGAAAGUUGAAGAAGGAGGAGGAGGGGGAGAAAUACCGGAGGUCUAAAUUCUGUACGCAGUUUUUAAAAAUCUGGUGAUUUGAAAUGUACUGACUUGCGUUUCAACCCUGGGAGUAAACGUCCUUUUCGGUGCCCUGCCGGACCUUCGCUUCACCAACUGUGCAGACUCGGCGAGAGGAGGACGUGGUCUGGAGACACAGGCACCCGCAGGGUGGCCUACAGGUCGGCCGCUGGCCCCCUGCGCUUCUGUCCUGCCCCAACCUCAACAAUUAUGACGUUUGAAAAUUUUCCGCUUUUCAAAUAACAAUAAUAAGCAUUCGUGAAAAACCCGAAGUACUUUAUGUCACCACCUGGAAGCCAGCUAAAGUGCCCACUGCGAAAACAAGGAAGAAAAUACGAAAAUAUGCCCCAAAGAGAAAGAAUUAAAAAUCGACUCUUCUCUGGGAGAAAAUGAAAUCGAGAAGCUCAAGACCAGGACCUCUGAGAAAUGAGUAUAUUUGGGAAAAGGUUUGAUUUUCCAGCCACUGGUGCCUCAGCUUUGGGCUUUCCAUUUGCUGGGCUUCUCCUAACACCUCCGGCACCCAGCAGCGUGUUCACGGGGUCACCUGCUUCUGGUAAACUGCGCACACGGGAUAUUUUGGCUGCUGCGGUCAAGACACUACCUCUCUGCACUUGAACUUCCCUUUUGUCACACUUCCCUGAUGUCAAGUAGCACUGGCGAGUCCAGGGGAGUUUUGGAGAUCUGUCUUCUUAAAAGAGAAGCUGAGUUGGAGAUCUAUGUAUAUAUUUAAUCUCACAGUGUCUCCCAUGUAUAUAGUUAAGUCAUGGCCAUCGGUCCUGAUCCAGGAAGGGCUUCCAGGAAUUCUCCUGCCACGCACCUGCUGACUUACCCAGCUCAGACAGAGGUCCAGGGAUACGGAAUAUCACCAUGUGAACGGAUCCUCCAGCACCAGACCUCGGACGCAGGUGGGCAACGGAGGAGAAACCCACUUUGACAUGAGGAGUCACCCCGUGGGAAGCUUUCUAGCAUCAGGCAUGGAAAUUGAACUGUUCUCCAGUGUUUCACCGACCCUUAAAGACAAGUAAAAACACAUUGAGAAAGUAGCCUUUGGUCUGAAUCGGACCGAAGAAACCUAAGAAGUAUGGGGAACUAGGAGGUAGCAGCUUCAUGGACGGCAGAGCUCCCCUAGGCUUCCUCCAGACCCUUGCGGUGGUGAGCCUUGGCUGAAACUGCCACCAUUCGUGGAUGGACACCAAGGAUCCCAUCUGAACAUAAUGAAGGAAUCUAAUGGUCGCUGUGCACGCAAUUCCAUGCAGAGUCUACAUGGCAACUGGUCAUCAUUAUCGUUAUCACGACAUGAAGCCGGAAUCCAUGGAAGGAGCAAGGCACACAGCUGUGGGCUGCAGCUGACCUCUCCCCUUGAAAUAUCCGACACCCCCAACACUGUGCUUGAGCCACCCGGGAGAGAGAAAGGAACUUCCGUGAUUGGAUACAUAGGUGGCGGCCACCUAACCAAGCUUUCUCCCAUUUUCCGUCACCUGAUACUUCAGAGGGCGCUUAACAGAUUGCCUGGUUUUGGGUGUUGGGUUCUGUGGUGUAUGUCACUGUAGGUGGGGACAGGAUGGUUAGGACAGUGAAGAAGAGGCACUUGGAGGGAUUCAUCAUUCUGGUCAGACGUGAUUGAAGGGGGUUUAUACUCCUUUUCAGGAGGACUCCUGGCGUGUGAAGGUUUACAGGGCAGAGAAUCUUGGUGCGGAAGGGUUGAGGAAUAGUGUUCCCUGCUCUGGCUUGGUCUGUGAAAAAUGCAACAGCGCCAGAUGCAAGCACUGCCAAGCACAAAUUUAUACACUUCAAAGAAUUUUUACUUUUUCAAUCAGAAAAAGACAUGAGAUUCCAGACUCUAGACUCUCUAUUUCAGUCCCAAAUUGCCAAAUUGCUGAUGUUGCAGUCUUUCUUAGAAUUUGUUUGGAGAAAGCAGCAAAGGGACGAAAAGGAAAAACUGUGUUUUACCCAAAUGAGCUCCCUGAAUUUGUAGAGUGUGUUAUUAAGCAAAGCUGUGUUGGGGCAAGAAUCAUUUUACAUUCCUAAAGGGUGACGCUCUGAGGCUCUUCAGCCUCGGGGCUGGUAAAACUCUGGAGAGAGGACAGAGGAGGAGAAUUCAAAAAUAACGGAGAAUCUGGAGCUUAAUGUGGGAAGGAGGAAAGGUAAGCACUUUCUAAACGCUCGCCCAGCCUUCUUAGCCCACAUGACACUGGCUGAGUCCCAAGCGCCUGGCCAGCUGCAGAAGGGCAGCCCCUCACGGGGGCGGAGCUUGUGGCGCUGAGGCCCCUCCCACCAGUCAGGUGCCCCAGUGCCUGCAGGAAACAAGGCCGGAAAGUCUCCCUGCGGCUCCCCCUGCGUGCCUUGUUUAAUGCCCUGAUUCAUAUGGACUGAACCCUUCCUGACACACGGGCUACCUAAAUAUGAAAUUCCCUCCUUCCACGAGCAUUGAAUGAGCACCUACAGUAUACCAGUCAGAGGGUCCCCACGGCCAACGCACUACGCAUUACGUCAUCGAAGGUCAGCCAGACGCUGCCUGGGCUGCAGCCUGCAGAGAGCACGGCGGGGGCUCCAGGUGGAACAGUGCACAGAGAGAGGGGGGAACCUUGCUGCAGAACAUCUAAGAUGUUAGCCUGGGGAGGCAGGGAGACAGAUGGAAGGUGAGAAGCCACGGAUGAUCUGGACAUCCUGAAAGAAAGGCCUUGAGGCAUCAGGUGGGUCCUCGUCCAAGGAGCUGGAAAUUCGUCUCCGUCUUCCCUGUCGUCUGUCCUAAGUGGUCUUGGUAUUUUCAGUCCCGUCAUGCCUUGACCCCCAAAAUUCUCUUUCCGGUGUUGGGAGGAAGGAUCCUUGAAGUGAUCCAGAGAAAACGCUUCCUUUACUUGAGAAAACCAAGGACCGGAGAUGUGAGGAGACCUGCCCGGAGCCACAGACCUGCCGUGGGAGAGAUGGGACCAGACCCUGUUCCCAGAACGUCCAGGUUCACCUUGCCUCUCCUGAGUGACCACUGCGACCACGCUGUCUCCUUCUGAUACUUCAUAAUAUAUUCCCAGGCUCCUGGCACACCUUCCAGGCCCCACGUGGAGACAGCACCCACACCAGGCUACGUACCCUUACUGAAUGACCAGGCCCUGAUCAGCCACCGUUGCCUGGAGCCGUGCAGCCUGCGGGGAACAAGGGACUACAGCCAACAAUCUGGAGUUCUCACCUCGGCCUUGCUGCUAAACCAACCCAAGCCACAGGAUGUCCCCAGUGACUUGAAUUCCUCCAUCCAUAGACUGAAGCUGUGUCUGACCUAUAUCCCCAGAGUCUGGGAGAGGCUGUCAUUGACCACUUAACAUGCACUGCUGUGCUAGGUAUGGCACUGGGUACGUCUCUACCACACGCUGCACUGGUUUUACUACAGUGCCCAUCACUAGCUGUCACUUUCCUGUUCAUUUGUCACUUGGCUUAUUCCGCUUUGUCUAUUGCCCAUCUCCUCCUACUAAAGUGCAGAUUCCUUGGACACAGAAGAAGCGUCUCCCCUGUUUGCUGUUGAAUCCCUGUGAAAGACUGUCCACCCUUCAGUGAGCUAGCUGUCUGCUGAAUCAGAUGGGAUAGUGCAUAUAAAAACAUCGCGUGCAAUAACACGUAGGGUGUUGUUUUUAUGGUGUUGCUUUAGCUGGUUCUUGACCUGCUGAGCCCUGUGCUCUCCAGACGUUUAUCCAAAAGCAUAGCUGAGAGAAGAACCUAGCAAUCCUCUCUCCUCCCUUUCCAGUUGGCAAGUUCUUCUAGAGUUUCCACUGAAUUGUUGGGCUUUCUGACCGCUGUUCAUCCCACAGGAGAUCUGGAGUCUCUGUACAUCUCACAAGGCUGCAUUAGUAUUUAUUCAGGUGGUGCCUUUACUAACGUUGAUAAAAAAUCCAUGGAGGCGGUACCUCUGGUAGAUUGUAUUUUCCAAAAGUGGCUGAAGCAAUAUACUUUCCAUCCCACAUACUCUCACAGUCCUACUGGACAUUUCUGCAAUAAGAGGUGGGCUCCAUGAACCAGAGCAGGCCUUUGUGACUGCCUUGGCCAACAGAACACAGUAGAAGUGAUUCUGCAUGCCUGCCAAGGCUAGGUCAUAAAAGGCAUACAGCUCUGCCUGGAUCUUUCUUUGUCUCACGAUGGUCAGACUGAGAAGCCGGCCACCACGUUGUGAGGAAGCCCAGGUCACAUGGGGAGGUCUUCAUUACUGGGGAGAAAUAACGAAGGAUGAUUGUCUUUUAAGCCAUGAAGUUUUGGGGUCAUUUGUUAUGCGGCAACCGAUAACCGUUGCACAGACUUUUGGAGAUCACUCUGGUUUCACUGCCAGCAUAGAUGAAUCUCUGUAGAAGAAAUAAUGGGCCUGGGGGUUGGCUGUCUGGUUAGAAGAAGGGUCUAGGGGAUUCGUAAUGAAGCUAUGCUUGCAUACCAAGCCACUAUUUUCACUCAGGGCAGCUGGAGGUAGGACAAUGGAGAUGGCCGCUUCUGAACAUCACCGUGGCUGUGCAAGUAUCUCUGCAGUUGACGAAUCUUAUAAGUGUGUUUAGUAGCCCUUCCAUAACUUUGUAAGGCAAUCCAAAGCCCUUCUGAAAUACCCAUAAAAAUAGUUAAACAAUCGUUUCACAAUAGUUAAACCUUGAGAACUGGACAUAUUCUUGGGUCUGUAAUGUUACUGGGAUCCCCAGUGAAGUGGACCCACUCCAUCCCCACUCCUACCCUACACACACAAGACCUCCGGUGGUGUAAAAUGCCAGAAGGGAUGCCAGCUCCUUCUUUAGCAAGUCAUUUUGGGGACCGGCGCUGAAAAGACAAGCAGUAAUGUUUUUGGAGUCCAACACUGUCAUGACCUCCAACAUUUCAUGUUAAUGUUAUACAUCUGGAAUAAAACCAGAGGAACAUGCAUGACAUAAUAACAGUCAAGAAUCCUAGAGAACAAAUGGCUUCAAAACAGCAUGUACCCUAGACGCCCGCAAGUCUCAGCACUGGUUGUUGAGUGGCCGUGGGGGUAUAGGGCCUGGUGGGGAGCAAUCUGUGCGUUUACCCCAUUUUUGUAAACAAACGGCCUUCCGCAUGUUAGCCUGGCACAUAUUUAGCAGCGGGCUUUGAAAGCUUGCUCCCCUGGAGACUUUUCCUAGGAAAGUAGCAAGACUUUUCCAAAAGAGUCAAAAAUUGUAAGAAAAUGGCUGGAAACAAAACAGCUUUGCAGAAGGGAUAGAAAUCAUACAGCAGGGACUUAUCAAACUUUCUUCCUUGAGGGCAUUUGCUUGUUCUUUGAUUCUUAUGGCCUUCCCGCCAUAGCCCAGAGGGCCUGUCAUCUCUGGUUCACCCUUGAAUGAACUGCAGUAAAAAAACUGCCUGGGGUUGCAAACAUCACUGAUGGCUGAUGUAAGGGGAGCAGAUAAAUGAGAAAUGCAGGGCUACACCCUUUCUAGGGAAUGUUUGAAAAUUUGCCAUUGUUCCUGAAAAUCUGCGAACUGCUUUCAAAGUCUGAGAAUACAGAGGGAAAGUUUCGGGCUCGAAAAAAGGGAAAGGGGUUACAUUUAGGGCUGGGGGAGCCUUGGCCUUUGUAAAUUGCAACGACUGUCCUGAUCAGGCACACUGGACUUCUUUCUCUAUAAGAAAGUUGUGGGGUUUGUAUUAAAAAAAAAAAAAAGAAAAAGAAAAAAAAGGAAGAUCACUCCAUGUCUAUUUUUGUUAGGGGAAUAGCCUUCGUUGCAAGAAUCUUUUGUGAUUUACCCAAAAUGGAUAUCGUGGACCGCAAAGCAGAAAAUAGAUCGUUACAAUGCACUGGUGUUACAUGUCACCCAAGUUUAAUCUGACCACUGACUUCAGAUGUGAAAGACUCUCCCUGCUCCAAAUUGCACACAACCAUUGCUGAGGGAGGAGGACGAUACCUCUUCAGUGGGGCCUCAGGAAAAAAGUCACAUUGGAAAAGCAGGCGACCGAUGGCCAAGUCCUUCUCUAAACUUUUCAGACAAUGUUGAAGUAGAUAUGUAUUUUGGAUUGAUCAAAAUACAGAUUUGAAUCCAGCAAA